UCCUGUUUGGCUCGUUUGGUAGAGCAUGGCACUUGCAACACCAGGAUUGUAGGUUCAAUUCCUAUAGCGGAUG
rnacentral:tRNA from 1 species